rnacentral:rRNA from 1 species
UAAUUGAAGAGUUUGAUCAUGGCUCAGAUUGAACGCUGGCGGCAGGCCUAACACAUGCAAGUCGAGCGGCAGCACAGAGGAACUUGUUCCUUGGGUGGCGAGCGGCGGACGGGUGAGUAAUGCCUGGGAAAUUGCCCGGUAGAGGGGGAUAACCAUUGGAAACGAUGGCUAAUACCGCAUAACCUCGCAAGAGCAAAGCAGGGGACCUUCGGGCCUUGCGCUACCGGAUAUGCCCAGGUGGGAUUAGCUAGUUGGUGAGGUAAGGGCUCACCAAGGCGACGAUCCCUAGCUGGUCUGAGAGGAUGAUCAGCCACACUGGAACUGAGACACGGUCCA